rnacentral:rRNA from 1 species
CUACCAUGCAAGUCGAACGAUGAUGCCCAGCUUGCUGGGUGGAUUAGUGGCGAACGGGUGAGUAACACGUGAGUAACCUGCCCCUGACUCUGGGAUAAGCGUUGGAAACGACGUCUAAUACUGGAUAUGACUGCCGGCCGCAUGGUCUGGUGGUGGAAAGAUUUUUUGGUUGGGGAUGGACUCGCGGCCUAUCAGCUUGUUGGUGAGGUAAUGGCUCACCAAGGCGACGACGGGUAGCCGGCCUGAGAGGGUGACCGGCCACACUGGGACUGAGACACGGCCCAGACUCCUACGGGAGGCAGCAGUGGGGAAUAUUGCACAAUGGGCGAAAGCCUGAUGCAGCAACGCCGCGUGAGGGAUGACGGCCUUCGGGUUGUAAACCUCUUUUAGUAGGGAAGAAGGGAGCUUGCUCUUGACGGUACCUGCAGAAAAAGCACCGGCUAACUACGUGCCAGCAGCCGCGGUAAUACGUAGGGUGCAAGCGUUGUCCGGAAUUAUUGGGCGUAAAGAGCUCGUAGGCGGUUUGUCGCGUCUGCUGUGAAAUCCCGAGGCUCAACCUCGGGCUUGCAGUGGGUACGGGCAGACUAGAGUGCGGUAGGGGAGAUUGGAAUUCCUGGUGUAGCGGUGGAAUGCGCAGAUAUCAGGAGGAACACCGAUGGCGAAGGCAGAUCUCUGGGCCGUAACUGACGCUGAGGAGCGAAAGCAUGGGGAGCGAACAGGAUUAGAUACCCUGGUAGUCCAUGCCGUAAACGUUGGGCGCUAGAUGUAGGGACCUUUCCACGGUUUCUGUGUCGUAGCUAACGCAUUAAGCGCCCCGCCUGGGGAGUACGGCCGCAAGGCUAA